rnacentral:rRNA from 1 species
AUUGAACGCUGGCGGCAGGCUUAACACAUGCAAGUCGAGCGGGGGAAGGUAGCUUGCUACUGGACCUAGCGGCGGACGGGUGAGUAAUGCUUAGGAAUCUGCCUAUUAGUGGGGGACAACAUCUCGAAAGGGAUGCUAAUACCGCAUACGUCCUGCGGGAGAAAGCAGGGGAUCUUCGGACCUUGCGCUAAUAGAUGAGCCUAAGUCGGAGUAGCUAGUUGGUGGGGUAAAGGCCUACCAAGGCGACGAUCUGUAGCGGGUCUGAGAGGAUGAUCCGCCACACUGGGACUGAGACACGGCCCAGACUCCUACGGGAGGCAGCAGUGGGGAAUAUUGGACAAUGGGGGGAACCCCGAUCCAGCCAUGCCGCGUGUGUGAAGAAGGCCUUAUGGUUGUAAAGCACUUUAAGCGAGGAGGAGGCUACUCUAGUUAAUACCUAGGGAUAGUGGACGUUACUCGCAGAAUAAGCACCGGCUAACUCUGUGCCAGCAGCAGCCGCAG